rnacentral:rRNA from 1 species
AGUGGCGAACGGGUGAGUAACACGUGAGCAACCUGCCCCUGACUCUGGGAUAAGCGCUGGAAACGGCGUCUAAUACUGGAUACGAAACGUGAUCGCAUGGUUCACGGCUGGAAAGAUUUUUUGGUUGGGGAUGGGCUCGCGGCCUAUCAGCUUGUUGGUGAGGUAAUGGCUCACCAAGGCGUCGACGGGUAGCCGGCCUGAGAGGGUGACCGGCCACACUGGGACUGAGACACGGCCCAGACUCCUACGGGAGGCAGCAGUGGGGAAUAUUGCACAAUGGGCGCAAGCCUGAUGCAGCAACGCCGCGUGAGGGAUGACGGCCUUCGGGUUGUAAACCUCUUUUAGCAAGGAAGAAGCGAAAGUGACGGUACUUGCAGAAAAAGCGCCGGCUAACUACGUGCCAGCAGCCGCGGUAAUACGUAGGGCGCAAGCGUUAUCCGGAAUUAUUGGGCGUAAAGAGCUCGUAGGCGGUUUGUCGCGUCUGCUGUGAAAUCCCGAGGCUCAACCUCGGGUCUGCAGUGGGUACGGGCAGACUAGAGUGCGGUAGGGGAGAUUGGAAUUCCUGGUGUAGCGGUGGAAUGCGCAGAUAUCAGGAGGAACACCGAUGGCGAAGGCAGAUCUCUGGGCCGUAACUGACGCUG